GCUGGGCGUGGUGGCGUGCGCCUGUAGUCCCAGCUACUCGGGAGGCUGAGGCAGAAGAAUCACUUGAACCUGGGAGGCAGAGGUUGCAGUGAGCUGAGACUGUGCCACUGCACUCCAGCCUGGGCAACAGAGAGAGACUCUGUCUCAA
ensembl:misc_RNA Metazoa_SRP Metazoan signal recognition particle RNA